GAUGAACGCUAGCUACAGGCUUAACACAUGCAAGUCGAGGGGCAGCAUGGUCUUAGCUUGCUAAGGCCGAUGGCGACCGGCGCACGGGUGAGUAACACGUAUCCAACCUGCCGUCUACUCUUGGACAGCCUUCUGAAAGGAAGAUUAAUACAAGAUGGCAUCAUGAGUUCACAUGUUCACAUGAUUAAAGGUAUUCCGGUAGACGAUGGGGAUGCGUUCCAUUAGAUAGUAGGCGGGGUAACGGCCCACCUAGUCUUCGAUGGAUAGGGGUUCUGAGAGGGAGCUCCCCCACAUUGGAACCGAGACACGGUCCAAAAUCCUACGGGGCGCAGCAGUGAGGAAUAUUGGGCAAUGGGCGAGAGCCUGAACCAGCCAAGUAGCGUGAAGGAUGACUGCCCUAUGGGUUGUAAACUUCUUUUAUAAAGGAAUAAAGUCGGGUAUGGAUACCCGUUUGCAUGUACUUUAUGAAUAAGGAACGGCUAACUCCGUG
rnacentral:rRNA from 1 species